GAUGAGCGCUGGCGGCGUGCCUAAUACAUGCAAGUUGUGCGGUAACAGAGAGAGCUUGCUCUCUGCUGACGAGCGGCGGACGGCAGAGUAACGCGUAGGAACAUACCCCAAACUGAGGGAUAACUGCUCGAAAGAGUAGCUAAUACCGCAUGUGGUCUUCGGAUUAAAGCUUCGGCGGUUUGGGAGUGGCCUGCGUCCGAUUAGCUAGUUGGUGAGGUAAUUGCUCACCAAGGCGACGAUCGGUAGCUGGUCUAAGAGGAUGAUCAGCCUGACUGGAACUGAGAACGGUCCAGACUCCUACGGGAGGCAGCAGUAGGGAAUUUUCCACAAUGGGCGAAAGCCUGAUGGAGCAACGCCGCGUGCAGGAUGAAUGCCUUCGGGUUGUAAACUGCUUUUCUGUGUGAAGAAUAUGACGGUAACACCA
rnacentral:rRNA from 1 species